UACAGAGGGUGCGAGCGUUGUCCGGAAUCACUGGGCGUAAAGGGCGCGUAGGCGGCUUGAUAAGCGUGCGGUGAAAGCCCGGGGCUCAACCCGGGUCGGCCGUGCGAACUGUCGAGCUGGAGCACUGUAGAGGCAGGUGGAAUUCCGGGUGUAGCGGUGGAAUGCGUAGAGAUCCGGAAGAACACCGGUGGCGAAGGCGGCCUGCUGGGCAGUGGCUGC
rnacentral:rRNA from 1 species